GCAGAAAGUUAUUUUAUUUUCAGGGUGAGGUGACCACAAACAUAUUUGAUUUCUACCCCCCGAGAAGUUACAAAUCUGACUCUCUGGAUUCAACAAAAAGGAAGUACCAGCUUGACCUUGGAGACUACCAUUGCAUCAAGGCACACAUAUAAACAAGAGAAAAUUCUGAAAGAAGAAACAACAGAAUGCUGAAACAUACUUAUGGAGGAAUUGAUUUGACAAAGGCCUGCAAACCGAAGCUGGACAACUUGAUAUAAAUCUGGAAGGACUCACCAUCACUGCAGACCAUGCAUGAGAAGGAAUGAUGUUCCUUGUGCCCAGGAAGCUAGGGAGACGUAUGAGAAGAAAGGAUGGCCUGUUAUGUGUAGUGACCUGAUGGAGACAGCCAUUCCACUCAGCCUCAUCCAAGGACAUGGGGACACAACAAGGGACCUCACGAGAUCGCUUUACAGACCAGUUGGUCCGGAGGCACAUUUCUUCUGCAGGGAUUGGCAAGGAAGAUUUCAGUCUUCAAGGUCUGUUGCUGGGCCUGGGCAAUGGAUGCGUUUUUCAGUAAUAAAGAGAAGAAUUUGAAGUUCCAACAGAUGAUUCAGGAAAUGAGGAAAGAUGACUAGGGGGUGGGUGCUACAUAAAGAAGGAAUUUGAAGACAGCAGGAAUAUCUCAAAAUGGACUUUGGCAUGACUGUUAUAAAUUCUUCCUCUAACUCCUCUACAGAAUCUUUAAUAAAGUCUACAAUGCUCUUUUGUAC
ensembl:lncRNA novel transcript